AAGGGUAUAGCUCAGUGGUAGAGUGCAUGCCUAGCAUGCACAAGGUCCUGGGUUCAAUUCCCAGUACCUCUG
rnacentral:tRNA from 1 species